AUUGAACGCUGGCGGCAUGCUUUACACAUGCAAGUCGAACGGUAACAGGGAGCUUGCUCCGCUGACGAGUGGCGAACGGGUGAGUAAUGCGUCGGAACGUGCCGAGUAGUGGGGGAUAACGCAUCGAAAGGUGUGCUAAUACCGCAUACGAACUGAGGUUGAAAGUGGGGGACCUUCGGGCCUCACGCUAUUCGAGCGGCCGACGUCUGAUUAGCUAGUUGGUGAGGUAAAGGCUCACCAAGGCGACGAUCAGUAGCGGGUCUGAGAGGAUGAUCCCGCACACUGGGACUGAGACACGGCCCAGACUCCUACGGGAGGCAGCAGUGGGGAAUUUUGGACAAUGGGCGCAAGCCUGAUCCAGCCAUGCCGCGUGUCUGAAGAAGGCCUUCGGGUUGUAAAGGACUUUUGUCCGGGAGCAAAUGCUGGUGGCUAACAUCCACCGGAGCUGAGAGUACCGGAAGAAUAAGCACCGGCUAACUACGUGCCAGCCGCCGCGGUAACAC
rnacentral:rRNA from 1 species